AAAUUUCUUUCUUUCUCUGUUUUCGUUCUUGUUCUAAGAAUUUCGGGGUCACAGCAAUUUUUCACUCUCCCUGAGCCUCAAGAACCUGCUUCCAUCGGCUGAAGAAGAAAGUGUUGUAAAUUUAUUUCUAAUUUUUUUUCGGAUUUCAUUUAAUUGUCGUUUCCUCUUGCUUUUCAGCAAAUUUAGGGUUUCAGAAUGCUUAAAAGAUAAGAUCGACCGCAAUGCCUUUGAAUUUGGGGUUUCAGUGAAUUUGCGGUGUCUAGGCUAAAAUAUCAUUCUUUCUAGGUUAAAACCAAACAAAGGAGGAGAGGAGAGUUUCGGGUUCGGGGUCACAGCAAUUCCUUCAUAUCGUCUGAAGAAGAAGAAGUUCUUCAGGAAGUGAAAAAGAGAAAGUUUAGGGUUUCAGAAUGAUCGAAAGUCUCAAAUGGGUGCUUGCUGCCAUGGAUCCAGAGCCCGGCCAGAAGUACUUUGAGCGCCACGUGCAACAUGUCCAAAACAGUUCAAGAAAGCCUGUGGAAAUCAACCGAGAACUAUUGGCGGAUGGCUUUGCUGUCGACACAGCUGGCGGAAAUGCUCACUCCUUAUGCAUUGGCGUUAAAGCCACAGGAGAGGAUAUUGUACAAGUAGUUAAUUCAAUUUCCCAGAGCCAGAAGUCCUAGCAAGAAAUAGAGGAGUCCUUUUCUACUGGUAUAGGCAGCAAAUCCAAGCCAUGCACAAAGCUUUUCAGCACUGCUGGUUGAUUUGAGAAAACCACAACCCUCCUUCACUAUGUUCCUGCUGGUUAUAAAGUUCAUUCUUAUUGACAGUGAGAUCUCAUAGUUGGUGUCCGUCUUAACUCUUCUUUGGCCAUGAAUAGGAAAUUUGUAUCUAUAGUUUAUGCGGGUAGGAAAAUAUGAAAUUUGUACCAAAUUUGUUUGUAUGCAACUUGUGUUUUAGUGUAAAUAUAUGAGAUUUGUCUUUUCAAUUGAUAUAUAAUGUCCUACUGCAAGGGUAAAGAAGUAAGUGUUCAAUGUAGAUCUACUUUUCUCUUAUUCUUUAAAAGAAAAAACACGAAAGAUAAAAGACCACAAUCACUCAAAGCAAUAGAAAUAAAAGCACAGGAAUGUCUGUUUUCAAACCAUCUUACAAGGCAUCAAGACACCCAUUUGUGCCAACAACCUCUCAAGUUGAUUAGAAUUCAAUUGGACAGGGGAAUUCCAUUGCAUGACACAAGUGUAUUAGAAUUCAGUUUCUGUUUGCACUGUGUUGCAAAAAUGGUCAAAGUGACACUAAUAUCAUUCAUCAUUUUGAUCUACACAUGGUGCAUGGUCAGAAUUAUCUACCUGCAAAUCUUAUGUGAGCGGGCUCUCUCUCUUCCCCCCCCCUCCCCCUCCUACGUGUUAGCCCAAGAAGGAUGGGUCUGUACAGAAGACACCUGGCAGGGACUGUCACCAGUUGCUUGAGAGUGCCAUGGAUUCUGCUGUGGAUGCUGAUGCUGUAGCUGCUAUUGUUGGUUGGUGGUGGAAAGUUGGUUGCUGGGGGUGACGGAAUGCUGCCAGUGUAUGAGUUGGCCCAAGAACUUGUUUUUGUUAUCUUACUUCCUUUUACCAUGGAAUCCAGAAGCAACGGAUGUUUUAUUGUGCAUUAGUCAGAAUGGGAAAACAAUUAUGGAUGCCACGUGGUAGUUGAUCUUUGGCGUUUUCUUAAAAUUAUUCAUGCGCAUGGAACCAUUUACUCACAUAAGAAGUUGAUUUUGUGGGCUCAGUUGCUCCCAGCAUUUCUAUGAAGUCUGUCAUGGACCAAUCAUGUUACGUUGGGUUGCCUACACUUCUUUAUUGCUAUGCGUGUGUGUCUACUUGUGCUUUCUGCUCUGUCUAUUAUUUGGUUUGGAUACGUACAAUCAGGUCACUGCCUCUUUUACUAUCUGUGAAUAUUGAUUUUACAAGUUUAUUGGCUUUCUUACGUAAUGAUGGAUCCCUUUGCAUGAAAUCCAAGUGAACCUUUGAUGCAUGCAUGGGUGCAUCGAUCAGUGUUUCCUUUGUUGACUAAUUUUUGUAGUCUUGCGUUUUUCUUGUUUCAUGCAACUACAGAAAGUGUGUCAUUCUGUUUUCAACUCCCAGGGUUGGCACCGACAUUCCAGGUGAUGUAGAUCCCACUCAGGGUGAAAACUGAUAACUCUUCUAGCUUGUUUGGUCGAUCUGUAUGUCUCUGUUUUGCUCAAAAAAUGAAUGUCUGUGUAUGUGUGGUGAUUUACUCUUCUUCCUGGAUUUCUGGAUGCAUGGGAACUUGUAUAAUCUGUUAUGGCACUUUUUGGGAGUUGAAACUCGUUGCUAUAUGCUUGACUGCAAAUUUGUCUACAUGCAAAUCCUACCUGGCUAGUCUCUGUGUGCGUGCGUGUGUGUGUGUGUUGGAUAAAGGUGAUACCAUUGAACCCAAUGAAGCCUUACCCAAUUUUCUUUCCACACUUUGCAUGUUCUUGUUCAUUUGCAAGGCUCAUCAAGGUGUUUUAAUUUUCUCUGGUAGCCAGUCCAUAUCUGGUACAGUUUGCCCCUAUUUUCACAUGUUCAUGAUUUCCAGUUGUUAAAUUUAUUUGAUGCAAAUGCUUGAAAAGAUGCUGCUCUAUUGUGUUGGCAUACUUUCCGUUAAUGUGAUUUACGUUAACAUAUUCCAUUGUACAAUUAUUGCUAUUUUAUUAUUUUACCCUUUUUGUUCCCUUAUGUUUUCAAAUGAUUUGUUUUACAUGGAACAAAAUGUUAAAUAACAUGGAAUAUACAAUUAUGUUAAAGUUGCCAAUAUUGCAUGUGCUAGAUUUUUUGUGGUUAUCGAAAUAAAUUGUUCUUAAUUGCAUCUUGUAAAACAAUGAUAGGUUUCUUUCUUUCUUUCUUUCUUUUUUGCUAAACUAUUUGCUUCUUUCCAGGUCAAACAAAUAAGAUUCAUGCUACCUGCUCUCUCUCUCUCUCUCAAGCGGUCUUUGCAAAACCAUAUUAGGGUUUCUGCCUCCAUAUUUGGAUCUGUUGUGGGCUUUUUUGCUUGUUUCUUUUCCUUUCACUCUCUUUAAAUCUUUGGUUGCUGGUUGAUGUCUUGAUUUGUUGUUUGGAUCUCCGUUAAUCUGUCAUUAUCUACUGCGGACACUUGCUAGGGAACUAGGCACCCUAAGGGUGGCUUGAAGAAGUGCUCUUCUUCAAGCAACAAAUGGGCUGCUUAUCAACUGGUUUAGGAAGCAAAUUGAAGCCAAGCAUGGAGUUUUUCAAUACUUCUGGUUGUCUAUUAUGGGGAACUGCCACUUCCUUCACUAUGUUCCUGGUGCUGGACAACCGACGGCAAGAUGUGAGGUCUGGUGGCUGACCAUAAGUGUUCUGAGUGCCACAUGCACAGUGGGCGGAGCAGUUCAAGAAAGCCUGUGGAAAUCGUUGUAUCCUCCAUUGAUGGUGGAUGCACUGGUAGUGGAGGUAUUGGUUUUGACAGUGAUGGCAACGGCUGACAUCUUCCCAUUUCAGUCUGCCUGGACCGGCCCCCUUCCUUUGAUCUUUUCCACCUCAACCGGUGGUAUAGUUUUUUUUUUUCUCCCAUGUUGGGUGUUUUUCUCUGUUCAAGUGUUUCUCAAACCUGAUCAGUGGCCAUGGGAAGGCAAGAGAAAAUUAUGAAUUUGAUUGAAUGAUCCAUUUCAGCCCAUCAAAGGCCAUAAUUUACUUUGCCAUUGUCCAUGCUGGAUGCUAUGGUUUCCCAGAUUAGGGUUUGUGAAAGCUUAGAAGAUACACCUCCUUCUGUACUUCUUUGUUAUUCAAAUUUAAUUUGGCAAAUCUAAACUUCUGAUGUCAACAGGGAUGCUGGAGACUCCUCUGUUCUCUUGGCUCUCAUUCAGCCUGGAAGGAAUCAACAGCUUCUCCAUACUUUCUGGUAAAUUGAGGGGGUGAGUCCAACACAGCGUAACCUGCAGUUCUCAUUUCUUGGAUUUUCUGGGUAAAUUAACAAAUUCUGCAUGGUACACGGUAAUUUCUUAGCAACUCCCUUGACCUACUAACUGGAAGUACUUAUAGGAGAUUUUGCAGUUAGCGUGUAUGUUGUAAUUUGUGAAUAGGACAAAAAGUUGCUCAAUGUUGCUUCUUCUUGUAUUUUUUUUGUUGAAAAUAAAACAAUAAAAAGAAAUACAACUAAGAUGAAAAAUUACAGAGCAUUACCACCAUAACCACUGCAUUUGGAUCUAUACCCACUUUGACGUAUAUAUCACCAUUACCUGUUUACUUGAGAUGAAGAUGAUGCUGUGCCAACAGCAAAAAUAGCAUUCUCCAAGUUUGUUCUUAGUGCCAACUAUCAACAUCAACUGCUCUCCUUUGCUGCUAGCCUGCUACUAUUUUCUCCCCCACCCAACAGAAUUUUACAUGAGGUGUCUCUUUGCUACCACCACUUUCUUUGGCUGUCCCUCCUCCAGCCUCAUCACUUGGUUUCCUCCGACACGACUUCAGCUGCAUCGCCAGCUAUUGAAAUGGCUGCUGUGCUGUAGCCGUUGCUCAACUGCAGAAUCUCUCACUUGUGGUGUUUCCACUGAGGUAAGGUCUCCUCUAUAUACCUUGUUCUCUUCUCCAGGUUGCUUCUUGUUGACAAUUUUCUCUUUCUUUAGCUUAUAGCUUUUUAUGGGCAUUUUUUAAUUGAUAAUGACAGAAGAAGUUUGUACUUUUAUGGUCUUGUACUUUUCCCUUUUGGAAUAAUUUUCCUUUAAGCCAAUAUUUUCUUUCUUUUUUUUUUUUUCCUGAUAAAUGCAAAGCCCAAAAAAAGUUCAUCUUGCCAAGGCAUAAAAUGCGAUACUUGUUUAGCCCAUUUAAUGUAGCCUCAUGCACUUGUAAGGAAGCUUGUGUCUAGCAUAUGGAGGCAUGCUUCAUCAAGUUGUUGAAAUAUUUUCCCCUAAACUGUCUUGGGAUUUGUAGAUCAAUACACAAAAAAAUGCUGCUUUGUGGUGAUUUUAUUUCGGUUACUUUAAACUGCAUCUAUUUGACCUAUACUGUGGUGGUUUACUGACUCCGACAAUUUAACUCUAUUAAACUUUUUGCGUUUGUUUAUGACGGCUUUGCCCAUAUUUUUGCAGCAGUUUUUAGCCUUGAGCAACUUUGUGGUGGUUUUUUUACUAAUUUAGAAAAAUUUUGAAUCUAGAAAUAGGGCAGAAGGGAGAAAGCACGAUUAGGGUAAAAAUUGAUUUGGCCUCACUCUGUCACACUCUUUAACGAUUUAUGAAUCCAACCUCACUCUCACUCUUUCUACCAUCGCCUGCCAUCCCCGGCAAAUAUCGGCAGCUGAGCCCUUCCGGAGAAGCGGCAGUUCUUUCACUCACAAAAAUUGUAGCCAGACCCUGACGCCAUACCUAGCCUUUUUUCCACCACACAACAUACCCUCAAUGGGGAAAAGAGAAAUGAAUGAAGCAAAUGACCAUGCCUCUGUCGCAACAGUAUUCAAGAAAUAGAAAAUUUGGUUCUGGUUAAGAUACCGGUCAAUAAUUUCUUUGGGCUUUAAUAUGUGUCUCUUUGUAAUUUUAUUUGAUGAAUCUUUCUUUCAUUCAUUUUGCUUUAGUUUAAUUAUUAACUUAUUUUGUAUUUGUUUCUAUACAAGUUCCUUCAGUUCAUUUUUUUUCUUAUUUUUAUCUUAGUAUUUGCUUUUCUUCAGUAUCUAAUUGCUUGGUUUGCAUUUUGUUGUUAUGUUGGUUGGCCCACUUUCUUCCGAAGUGUGGCUUCUAAUCUGAACAUGGACAUAUUAGAGAAGCUAAAUCAUCAUCUUGAAUAUCAUAAAAGUUGUGGUUGGGAAUCCCUUUAUAUAUUUACUGUUAUUUAAUGCUUUCUUUUUUUUUGGGAGAAUGAAGUUUUUGUCAAGCAUACAUAUUAUUUGGAAGAUGAAAUAUCAAAACUUACACAGCUUUGAGUAGUGGCAUCUGGAAUAUUAUUAAUUGGAUGUACCAUUGGGUAUACAUUUGGUUAAGUAAAUUUGUUUACAAAAUGGGCCAACAUUAAACUUUAAUGUUGGAACAAGGAAAAGCCAUCAAAUUUUAUUAUUAUUAGUAUUAGUAUUAUUUUUUCAGUAGGGUUGUUCUGAUCUUUAAUAGAAAAUGCAAAAGCUGGGCAUCCUUCACUUGUGUGAUACUUGCCCUCUAAACAGAUGAUGGUCCAGCUAAUUCAUCUGUUCCAUAUUUGUGUGUAUUUAGUUGUAAUUUGUUCUGAACAGAUGAUACAACUAUUCAACCCUUCAACAUCAUACACAUUCAUAUUC